GCUUUCUCCAGAUCAAAUCAGAAAGGGGAAGGGAAGAACGGCCCAGCAAUGCCGCUCUGCAGCUUCUACGCCUCCACCUCCGUUCCCGUCGUCAAGCCCCAGCAGUCCGUCGCCUCGUCCAAGCCCCCCACCACGGCGGUGGCCUCCGUGGCGACAACUGUGCCGAUGCGCAGUGCAGCGACGGUGACGCCAGCCGUGGCCACAACAACGAGCCUAGCGCUGUCUCUGCACCUGCCGGAGCUGCCGUCGCAGGUGAAGGACAAGAUCCUGAGCCUGGAGCUGAUGGGCGUGGACUAUGGGCGCGCGCUGGAGCAGAACCCGGCGCUCCGCGACGCGGCGCCGGAGUCCAUCCACGCGGUGGUGUCGUUCCUCCAGUCCCGCGGGCUCCAGUUCAAGGACCUGGGCCGCGUCUUCGGCAUGUGCCCGUCCGUGCUGACCGCCAGCGUCCGCGCCGACCUCCGCCCCGUGUUCGCCUUCCUCUCCGCGGACCUGGGCGUGCCGGAGUCGGCGCACCGGCGCGUGGUGAUCAAGUGCCCGCGCGUGCUGGCCUGCAGCGUCCGCGACCAGCUCCGCCCCGCGCUCAUCUACCUCCGCCGCCUGGGCUUCCGGGACAGCCGCGCGCUGGCGCUGCAGGACCCGAUCCUCCUCGUCUCCAGCGUGGAGCGCACCCUGGCGCCGAAGCUGGAGUACCUGGCCGGGCUCGGCAUGUCCCGCGACGACGCGGUCGCCAUGGUGCUGCGCUGCCCGGCGCUCUUCACCUUCAGCAUCGAGCGGAACUACCGGCCCAAGUUCGAGUACCUGGUGGACGCCAUGGGCGGCGGCGUCGAGGACGUCAAGGCCUUCCCGCAGUACUUCGCCUUCAGCCUCGAGAAGCGGAUCGCGCCGCGCCACCGCGCCGCGGAGGACGCCGGCGUCGCGCUGCCGCUUCCGGACAUGCUCAAGGCCACCGACGAGGAGUUCAGGGAGAUGCUCGACAAGGAGCGGGAGCUGCACGAGCAGGCAGCGACGACGGACUGAUCGAUCGGGGGGCUAGUACAGCGGUUUGCACCUGAUCCGACUCUCCGAAGCAUCCAACCGCCGUCUUCGUGGCGAUCGAGUGUCCUGGCCAUGACGGUAGCCAGCACAUGUAGUCAUUUGAUUUGAGUAAUUAGUAGCCUGUACAUAUAUGCAUUGACAUUAUUUGCUAUAGUCACGAUUCGUAGCUCAUGAGAGAAUAUGCCUGUUCUUUCUCCAUUCCAAGUGAAUAAGCACAGAGCUGGAAGUCGUGUCUUGUACACACGUGUAAUGAAUGAAUGUACCAAGUUCAUUAGAUAUUAUUUGCUCUGAGCUGCACGCUUGCGC